rnacentral:rRNA from 1 species
GGCUGAAAUUACGCCUUCCAUGAAGCCGGAAUUGCUAGUAAUGGCAGGUCAGCAUACUGCCGUGAAUACGUUCCCGGGCCUUGUACACACCGCCCGUCACACCAUGAGAGUUGGAGAUACCCGAAGCCUGUGAGCUAACAAACGAGGCAGCAGUCGAAGGUAGAAUCAAUGAUUGGGGUGAAGUCGUAACAAGGUAUC